UUUGCGGUGAUAUCACGCGAUCACCUGCACUGGACCGAGGACAUGUUUUGAUGACCGCUCUUCAAUUCUCCGAGGUUCAACCAAAGCGCAGCACGCGGGGUGCAUGCGAUCACCUGUGAGCCAUACACCUGGACCGUUUGGACCAUAUAUACACUUCCUCCAGGUCCGGCCAUUGUUCGAGCUCUGUUCCAACUGUGCCUGUGGACCGUAACCACUUCCUCCUGGUCCAAGCGCUGUUCGAGCUCUGUUCCCACCAACCCAAUUGUAAAAUAGAUCGACACGGAUAAGGUUCAACACUGAAAACGAGUUCGCCUCCGCUUCGACGACCAUGGUGUUAUUCAUUGAGUGUCGGGUCCAGGUGGGAAUGCUGCUCAAGUGCUGGGUCCUCGUGAUUGUCGCGCUCUGCGCUACCGGUGAGUAGGACACCACGGAGAGACAGAUGCACCGAACCUUCGCACAUUGUAAAACAAAGCUCUUCGCUUUGAUUGUGAGUAGAUCCCGUAUUUGUUUCACGUUGAUCGACGACGGUCUUUUCUUUCGGUGCAGGAUCUUAUUGCUUGUGGACAAACAGCGACCAAAACACCAUGAACAAAUUAAAAAAAUCUUCGACGGUCAUUGGUACCAACGGCCGGUCCUUGACUGUGAUGAGGUACAAGAGGCCUCUGAGCGAAAUGAACAUAGCAAAGUCAUGGAUCCCGGACCACACCGAGUGCCAGGAUGAUGCGCUUCCUUCACUAGAAGGGCGGCUCCUGGAGGAAUGUGAUCGCAGCGGGUCCUGCAGGCUGUGGCUGGAGACCGUGAGAACGAGCGAUGCAGGGGAAUUAGAGCUGCUCAUCAACGGCACUUGCACAAUUAUCCAGAUCAUCGUUAGACCAGAUUGCAGUGCAUCACAUCGCCUUGUUGCUGAACCUUCUGGUCCACCUUGGUUCAAUGAUUCUGUCACUCUGCACUGCACUGGCCCUUGGAAGCCAAGACAAAAGCAAAAAGGAUGGCAUAAAAGAAGAGGAGAAAUAAAACGACGACCAGGAGUUAGUGUGGUGAGGAAAACAGAAGGAAGAAGCGGAAGGAAUAACACAUUCCAGUGGACUCACAAUGGAAAACAAGUUUCCAAUGGCUCGACUGUGACUGUGAUUGGGGAUGGCAGGAGCGUCAAGAUCUCAAAUAUUGAAAAGGAGCAGCAAGGCUUGUGGUACUGCUCGAGGAUGGGCGGCCAUAAGAUGGGAUAUUGUCUCACUUGGACAGAGUCUGCCACUUCUUUAAACUGGAGCUGUCCACAAGCAGACAUGACAAAGCUUCAACCAAAUUACUUCAUCACCUCCUUUUCUGUCUCUCUCGCUGUCCCUGUUGGUGUGUUUUUUCUGUGCUUUGUGUUCAUCUUCUUCACAUGGCGUCGAUGGAAGAAUUCAGCAUCAGGUAUUGCAAAUGCGGUGUUGUUUGUCCCCAUUUCUGGCAUAAUCUUAAUGAUGCAAUUUAAGAGC
rnacentral:lncRNA from 1 species